rnacentral:rRNA from 1 species
AUUGAACGCUGGCGGCAGGCCUAACACAUGCGAGUCGAGCGGAUGAAGGGAGCUUGCUCCUGGAUUCAGCGGCGGACGGGUGAGUAAUGCCUAGGAAUCUGCCUGGUAGUGGGGGAUAACGUCCGGAAACGGGCGCUAAUACCGCAUACGUCCUGAGGGAGAAAGUGGGGGAUCUUCGGACCUCACGCUAUCAGAUGAGCCUAGGUCGGAUUAGCUAGUUGGUGGGGUAAAGGCCUACCAAGGCGACGAUCCGUAACUGGUCUGAGAGGAUGAUCAGUCACACUGGAACUGAGACACGGUCCAGACUCCUACGGGAGGCAGCAGUGGGGAAUAUUGGACAAUGGGCGAAAGCCUAAUCCAGCCAUGCCGCGUGUGUGAAGAAGGUCUUCGGAUUGUAAAGCACUUUAAGUGGGGAGGAAGGGCAGUAAGUUAAUACCUUGCUGUUUUGACGGUACCAACAGAAUAAGCACCGGCUAACUUCGUG